UUUAUGGUGGGCUUCCCGGGGGUAUCUCAUGGAACGAUACCGGGAGCAUCUCGUAGGGUCUGGGAGAACAGCUGGAUGCACUUGGACAUGGAGCAUUGCUUAAAGGAGGUGCCGAGGGACAAACCUUUGUGUCUGGAAGCAGCAUCGGAGCAAGGUCAAAUACGAGUGGCAAAUCAACGUUGGCAGGGAUCUGCCGGAGGAGAGGAGUUUCUGGUGGGCUCCCAGUGACAUCUCAUGGAGUGAUGCUGACCAGGAGACGACAUCCUGGCGAUGGCAGGAGCUUCCCAGAGAGCGAGGUGGCCUUCCUUGACGCCCCGUCUGGCUACUCCCCGCCGGGCAUCCGAGAGCUAAGUCAAAGGCUACGACCUGUAGAGGGUUAUGAAAGCGGGGUGCCGGGUUGGGACUCGUGACCCGGGAUUAUGGAGUCAGCUUUGGGGAUGGGGAGGUCCAGGCUGUGGCCCCUUAGGCCACGUGAAGGGAGAGCCUCACAUUUGUUCACAGUGCUGAGGUGUGCAGGACAGAGCAGUCCCGGGGCGUGUUGUAUCACUUGUCCAUUGUGCCUUGUGUGUCUUUUGUGCUUCUUGUGUUGUACGUGCCUCGCCUUAUCUCUUCUGGGGGCUUACCAGAAACCCCGGCGUCACUCCUCGCAUCUCUGAUCUCUGGGCUCCUCAGCCCAACACCAUCGAAGCUUUGCCUCUGGAGCUCUCAGAGGCCUCGGAAUCGCGUCUGUUUUGGAAAGCAUCCGAUCGGAUGUCUUUUAGAGGUCUUGUUCCGUGCUGUGUCAACAGCCGUGCGCCGCGAGGAUCCAUUGUUGCGGCUUAGGUCUUGAAGAAACGCAGAGAUAGGUAGGGGGCUGUGGCCCUCAGAUUCUCGGGCAUCCGUCUUGGCAGUUGCUGGAGUUUGUCAUUCCAUCAGCAUCUUCUUCCUCCCGGGUUCUGCGAGCUUCAUCAGCUCGCCUUCAUUCUCACCCGGCUCAUCUUGUUCCGCGUUCUCUCGGUCCUUGCGGCCGUUCUUGUGGCCCAGAGUUUUGUCUCCCCGUUGUGUCCCCUCGUCUGUUGUCUUGUGUGUCACGGGUGUCUGGGUGUAGUUGUCCCGGAGCUGCUCUGUCCUGCUGCCCAGCCUGGGUGUAGGUGUAAAAGGCCGAGUCCCAGGCCCCUGUAAUUUGAAAUUUGUCAUGUAGGGCAUAGUUGGAGUCUAGAGGGUGUUCCUCGAUGGACACAAGAUAUCUGGAGCUGUGAAGUUACCCUGCAGCACUUUGACUUUUGUCUCAGCUUUCUUUCAGAUGCGGACGGAUGAAAUCGGUGGCAGAGCGCCCCAUCCAGGGUAAGGGGGUUCCCCUGAGAAGGAAGUGAAGCCGGCUAGCAGCAGUCAAGGCGAAGUGGGCAAGGCGGUCCAGUCGCAUUUCGCCGAGAUCCCCUCCCCAACCAACCGGCCGGCACAGCUGUUUCGCCGCUCCCGUGAGCCCUGCGGAAGCGUUAUGGAACUGUGUGACGGAGCCUUUUCCACGUAAAGGGGCCGUGUGGGUGGCCUUCAGGAACGGGCUGAGGGG